rnacentral:sRNA from 1 species
GUGAAGCGGCAACAGCUCAAAUUUGAAAUCUGGCUCCUUCGGGGCCCGAGUUGUAAUUUGGAGAGGAUGUUUCGGGUACGGCCCGGGCUUAUAUUUCUUGGAACAGAAUGUCAUAGAGGGUGAGAAUCCCGUCUGGAGCCCGGACACGACCUAUGUGAAACUCCUUCGACGAGUCGAGUUGUUUGGGAAUGCAGCUCUAAAUGGGUGGUAAAUUUCAUCUAAAGCUAAAUAUUGGCCAGAGACCGAUAGCGCACAAGUAGAGUGAUCGAAAGAUGAAAAGCACUUUGAAAAGAGAGUUAAACAGUACGUGAAAUUGUUGAAAGGGAAGCGCUGGCGACCAGACUUGCGCGUCGGGGUUCCCCCUUGCUUCUGCCUGGGUUACUCCCCGGCGUUCAGGCCAACAUCGGUUUCGGGGGUUGGUUAAAGGCCCUGGGAAUGUACCUACCCUCCGGGGUAGACUUAUAGCCCAGGGUGUCAUGCGACCUCCCGGGACCGAGGAACGCGCUUCGGCUCGGAUGUUGGCGUAAUGGUUGUCACCC